rnacentral:rRNA from 1 species
GACGAACGCUGGCGGCGUGCUUAACACAUGCAAGUCGAACGGAAAGGCCCUGCUUUUGUGGGGUGCUCGAGUGGCGAACGGGUGAGUAACACGUGAGUAACCUGCCCUUGACUUUGGGAUAACUUCAGGAAACUGGGGCUAAUACCGGAUAGGAGCUCCUGCUGCAUGGUGGGGGUUGGAAAGUUUCGGCGGUUGGGGAUGGACUCGCGGCUUAGCGGCUUGUUGGUGGGGUAGUGGCUUACCAAGGCUUUGACGGGUAGCCGGCCUGAGAGGGUGACCGGCCACAUUGGGACUGAGAUACGGCCCAGAGUCCUACGGGAGGCAGCAGUGGGGAAUAUUGCACAAUGGGCGGAAGCCUGAUGCAGCAACGCCGCGUGCGGGAUGACGGCCUUCGGGUUGUAAACCGCUUUCGCCUGUGACGAAGCGUGAGUGACGGUAAUGGGUAAAGAAGCACCGGCUAACUACGUG